rnacentral:piRNA from 1 species
UAUAGCAGGGUCACGCCAACGGCUUAUGGU